rnacentral:rRNA from 1 species
UUAGAUACCCUGGUAGUCCACGCCGUAAACGAUGAGUGCUAGACGUUGGGGCCCUUAGGGCUUCGGUGUCGCAGCUAACGCAUUAAGCACUCCGCCUGGGGAGUACGGCCGCAAGGUUAAAACUCAAAGGAAUUGACGGGGGCCCGCACAAGCGGUGAGCAUGUGGUUUAAUUCGAAGCAACGCGCAGAACCUUACCAGCCCUUGACAUGGGCGUCGCGGGUCCAGAGAUGGACCCUUCGGUUCGGCCGGACGCCGCACAGGUGCUGCAUGGCCGUCGUCAGCUCGUGUCGUGAGAUGUUGGGUUAAGUCCCGCAACGAGCGCAACCCCCAUCUUCGGUUGCCAUCGGGUAGAGCCGGGCACUCUGGAGAAACCGCCGGUGACAAGCCGGAGGAAGGCGGGGAUGACGUCAAGUCCUCAUGGCCCUUAUGGGCUGGGCUACACACGUGCUACAAUGGUGGUGACAGUGGGCAGCGAGAUCGCGAGAUCGAGCCAAUCUCCAAAAGCCAUCUCAGUUCGGAUCGCACUCUGCAACUCGGGUGCGUGAAGUUGGAAUCGCUAGUAAUCGCGGAUCAGCACGCCGCGGUGAAUACGUUCCCGGGCCUUGUACACACCGCCCGUCACACCAUGGGAGUUGGUUUUACCCGAAGCCGGUGGGCUAACCGCAAGGAGGCAGCCGACCACGGUCAGGUCAGCGACUGGGGUG